rnacentral:rRNA from 1 species
AUGGAGUCCAACGGCGGCGAGGGAGAGGGCGACAUCGACCUCAACCUCUCCCUGCAUCGGGCGUCGUCGCCGGAGCCGCUGGGCUACUUCACCUGCACCUACUGCAACAAGAAGUUCUACUCCUCCCAAGCGCUGGGCGGCCACCAGAACGCCCACAAGUUCGAGCGCAGCGUCGCCAAACGCACGCGGGAGCUGGCCGCCGCGCGCCGCCACGGCCACGUGGGCCAGGUCGGCGCCGGCGAGGAGGCCAGCAGGAGAGGGAAGGACCCGACCAGCAAUGCCGCCGGGAGCUCCUCGCACAGGAGGGCGUCUCCGCCGGAGGCAGCCCGCCGGGACCUCAUCGCCGAGGAGAUCGAUCUGUCUCUCAAGCUCUGA